GAUCCUGGCUCAGGACGAACGCUAGCUACAGGCUUAACACAUGCAAGUCGAGGGGCGAGCAUGGUCUUAGCUUGCUUCCCGAUAGGCGUCGACCGGCGCACGGGUGAGUAACGCGUAUCCAACCUGCCCACCACUUGGGGAUAACCUUGCGAAAGUAAGACUAAUACCCAAUGAUAUCUCUAGAAGACAUCUGAAAGAGAUUAAAGAUUUANCGGUGAUGGAUGGGGAUGCGU
rnacentral:rRNA from 1 species